CCCUUAGAUGUCCUGGGCCGCACGCGUGCUACACUGACGCAUACAGCGAGCACUUUCCAGUUCCGAGAGGCUACUGGUAAUCAUCAAUAUGCGUCGUGAUGGGGAUAGAUCUUUGGAAUUCUGGAUCUUGAACGAGGAAUGCCUAGUAAUCGCAGGUCAUUAGCUUGCGAUGAUUAAGUCCCUGCCCUUUGUACACACCGCCCGUCGCUACUACCGAUUUCGAGUGGUCAGGUGAAUCUUUCGGACUGUGGGCGCCCUUGAGGUGUUCGCGGAAAGUCAGGUAAAUCUUAUCACUUAGAGGAAGUAAAAGUCGUAACA
rnacentral:rRNA from 1 species